CGGUGAUGCAGAGCUUGCUCUGCUGAUCAGUGGCGAACGGGUGAGUAACACGUGAGUAACCUGCCCUUGACUCUGGGAUAAGCGCUGGAAACGGCGUCUAAUACCGGAUACGACCUUCCCCGGCAUCGGGUGGGGGUGGAAAGAUUUUUUGGUCAAGGAUGGACUCGCGGCCUAUCAGCUUGUUGGUGAGGUAAUGGCUCACCAAGGCGACGACGGGUAGCCGGCCUGAGAGGGUGACCGGCCACACUGGGACUGAGACACGGCCCAGACUCCUACGGGAGGCAGCAGUGGGGAAUAUUGCACAAUGGGCGAAAGCCUGAUGCAGCAACGCCGCGUGAGGGAUGACGGCCUUCGGGUUGUAAACCUCUUUUGGCAGGGAAGAAGCGAAAGUGACGGUACCUGCAGAAAAAGCACCGGCUAACUACGUGCCAGCAGCCGCGGUAAUACGUAGGGUGCGAGCGUUGUCCGGAAUUAUUGGGCGUAAAGAGCUCGUAGGCGGUUUGUCGCGUCUGCUGUGAAAUCCCGAGGCUCAACCUCGGGCCUGCAGUGGGUACGGGCAAACUAGAGUGCAGUAGGGGAGACUGGAAUUCCUGGUGUAGCGGUGGAAUGCGCAGAUAUCAGGAGGAACACCGAUGGCGAAGGCAGGUCUCUGGGCUGUAACUGACGCUGAGGAGCGAAAGCGUGGGGAGCGAACAGGAUUAGAUACCCUGGUAGUCCACGCCGUAAACGUUGGGCGCUAGAUGUGGGGA
rnacentral:rRNA from 1 species